rnacentral:lncRNA from 8 species
AUGUCUCCGCUUCCUGGUUUGACCCUCCAUCUCUCCCCCCUCAGUCUACUGAUGUGGCUGAGGAGCAGGAGCCGUCUCUACGGAGCUCUGAGGGCCUCACUGGCCCCGUCCAUGACCUCCAGAUCCACGGGGGAAUCCUGUAUACAUAUUCAGGGCACAACACGGCGCAAGCAUAUUGCCAGUGAGCAAGGAGUGCCAGGCGGUGUUCGAAGGCCACACCAACAAGAUCAACUGCCUGCUGGUGUCGUUUCUGUCUGGCCUGCCGGCGCCUCUACACCGUCUGCAGUGAUCUCAGCAUCCGCUGCUACAUCAUCAAGUCAAAUAAGUGCCUUGAGGAGAUCUUUGUCGGACCAGGUGCUGUGUCUGCACAUUCACUGGAGCAUUCUUUACUCUGAGGUGCUGUUCUUCUCCUUACUCGUGGGGGUCGAAGGUUGAAGGGAUGAUCACGUUCUCCUCGGGGGGCAGGCAGAAGCGCUCGCUCACCUCGUGCAGAUUUUAAUGUAGGAUUUGCACUGGCCUUGGAGGUAUUGUAGAGGAAGAAGUCUUUCUGCAGGUGCUGCCGGCUCCCAACCAUCUAGGGAGAGGAGGAUGGAGGGAUCGAAAUACAGGAGGGAGAGAGGGGUGAUGCACAAAAAAGGAAUAAAAAAUCAAGGCAGACCUUCUGUUGAAUAUUUUCAAAUACCAAUGCUCUGCUUGAUUUGUUUACCUGGUCCAAUAGAACCUAUGGAUUAGUCUCAAAAAUGCAAACAAAGCGCACCUCAAAAUUGUCAUGUAUUGUACAUACAGUUGAAGUCGGAAGUUUACAUACACUUAAGUUGGAGUCAUUAAAACUAGUUUUUCAACCACUCCACAAAUGUCUUGUUAACAAACUAUAGUUUUGGCAAGUCGGUUAGGACAUCUACUUCGUGCAUGACACAAGUAAUUUUUCCAACAAUUGUUUACAGACAGAUUAUUUCACUUAUAACUCACUGUAUCACAAUUCCAGUGGGUCAGAAGUUUACAUACACUAAGUUGACUGUGCCUUUAAACAGCUUGGAAAAUACCAGAAAAGGAUGUCAUGGCUUUAGAAGCUUCUGAUAGGCUAAUUGACAUAAUUUGAGUCAAUUGGAUGUGUACCUGUGGUUGUAUUUCAAGGCCUACCUUCAAACUCAGUGCCUCUUUCCUUGACAUCAUGACGCGCCAAGAGUGUGCAAAGCUGUCAUCACGGCACAGGGUGGCUACUUUGAAGAAUAUCAAAUAUGUGUUUAACACUUUUUGGGUUACUACAUGAUUUCAUAUCUGUAGAAAAUAGUAAAAAAUAAAAACAAUAUAGAAAAUAGUAAAAAGAAAGAAGAACCCUUGAAUGAGUAGGUGUGUCCAAACUUUUGACUGGUACAGGGCCACAGUGUCUCCUGACCCCUCCUGUCUCAGCCUCCAGUAUUUAUGCUGCAGUAGUUUAUGUGUCGGGGGGCUAGGGUCAGUCUGUCACAUCUGGAGUAUUUCUCUUGUCUUUUCCGGUGUCCUGUGUGAAUUUAAGUAUGCUCUCUCUAAUUUUCUCUUUCUUUCUUUCUUUCUCUCUCUCGGAGGACCUGAGCCCUAGGACCAUGCCUCAGGACUACCUGGCUUGAUGACUCCUUGCUGUUCCCAGUUCACCUGGCCGUGCUGCUGCUCCAGUUCCAACUGUUCUGCCUGCAGCUAUGGAACCCUGACCUGUUCACCGGACGUGCUACCUGUCCCAGACCUGCUGGAACCCUGACCUAUUCACCGGACGUGCUACCUGUCCCAGACCUGCUGUUUUCAACUCUCUAGAGACAGCAGGAGCGGUAGAGAUACUCUCAAAGAUCGGCUAUGAAAAAGCCAACUGACCCUUACUCUUGUGUUACUGACAUGUUGCACCCUCGACAACUACUAUGAUUAUUAUUAUUUGACCAUGCUGGUCAUUUAUGAACAUUUGAACAUCUUGGCCAUGUGCUGUUAUAAUCUCCACGCGGCACAGCCAGAAGAGGACUGGCCACCCCUCAUAGCCUGGUUCCUCUCUAGGUUUCUUCCUAGGUUUUGGCCUUUCUAGGGAGUUUUUCCUAGCCACCGUGCUUCUACACCUGCAUUGCUUGCUGUUUGGGGUUUUAGGCUGGGUUUCUGUACAGCACUUUGACAUAUCAGCUGAUGUAAGAAUAUAUAUAAAUAAAUUUGAUUUGAAAAUUUGAUUUGGUACUGUGUGUGUGUGUGUGUAUAUAUAUAUAUAUAUAUAUGCCAAAAUAACAUGCAAAACAAGCAAAAAAUUAUAAUAUUCAUAUAUAUAUAUGUGAAUAUAAUUAUUUUUUUGCUUGUUAUAUAUAUAUAUAUAUAUAUGUGAAUAUUAUUAUUUUUUGCUUGUUUUGCAUGUUAUUUUGGCAUUAAUACGUGUCACAUAACAGUU